rnacentral:rRNA from 1 species
GAUGAACGCUGGCGGCGUGCCUAAUACAUGCAAGUCGAGCGAACAGAUGAGGAGCUUGCUCCUCUGACGUUAGCGGCGGACGGGUGAGUAACACGUGGAUAACCUACCUAUAAGACUGGGAUAACUUCGGGAAACCGGAGCUAAUACCGCAUAAUAUAUUGAACCGCAUGGUUCAAUAGUGAAAUACGGUUUUGCUGUCACUUAUAGAUGGAUCCGCGCCGCAUUAGCUAGUUGGUAAGCUAACGGCUUACCAAGGCAACGAUGCGUAGCCGACCUGAGAGGGGGAUCGGCCACACGGGAACUGAGACACGGACCAGAGUCCUACGGGAGGGAGCAGUAGGGAAUCGUCCGCAAUGGGCGAAAGCCUGACGGAGCAACGCCGCGUGAGUGAUGAAGGUCUUCGGAUCGUAAAACUCUGUUAUUAGGGAAGAACAAAUGUGUAAGUAACUAUGCACGUCUUGACGGUACCUAAUCAGAAAGCCACGGCUAACUACGUG